rnacentral:rRNA from 1 species
UACGAAGGGGGGCUAGCGUUGCUCGGAAUUACUGGGCGUAAAGGGCGCGUAGGCGGCCUGCUAAGUCGAACGUGAAAUCCCCGGGCUCAACCCGGGAACUGCGUCCGAUACUGGCAGGCUUGAAUCCGGGAGAGGGAUGUGGAAUUCCAGGUGUAGCGGUGAAAUGCGUAGAUAUCUGGAGGAACACCGGUGGCGAAGGCGGCAUCCUGGACCGGCAUUGACGCUGAGGCGCGAAAGCCAGGGGAGCAAACGGG